GACGAACGCUGGCGGCGUGCUUAACACAUGCAAGUCGAGCGGAAAGGCCACUUCGGUGGUACUCGAGCGGCGAACGGGUGAGUAACACGUGAGUAAUCUGCCCUUGGCUUCGGGAUAGCCACCGGAAACGGUGAUUAAUACCGGAUAUGACCAUCUUUCGCAUGAUUGGUGGUGGAAAGUUUUUCGGCCAGGGAUGUGCUCGCGGCCUAUCAGCUUGAUGGUGAGGUAAUGGCUCACCAUGGCUUCGACGGGUAGCCGGCCUGAGAGGGUGACCGGUCACACUGGGACUGAGACACGGCCCAGACUCCUACGGGAGGCAGCAGUGGGGAAUAUUGGACAAUGGGCGGAAGCCUGAUCCAGCAACGCCGCGUGAGGGAUGACGGCCUUCGGGUUGUAAACCUCUUUCAGCAGGGACGAAGCGCAAGUGACGGUACCUGCAGAAGAAGCACCGGCCAACUACGUGCCAGCCGCCGCCGUAAGAC
rnacentral:rRNA from 1 species